GUCUACGGCCAUACCACGUUGAAAACACCGGUUCUCGUCUGAUCACCGAAGUUAAGCAACGUCGGGCCCGGUUUGUGAGAGAGUGAAAGUGUUUGUUUUAUUACUAUAAUUU
rnacentral:rRNA from 1 species